GAGAGUAUAGCUCAAGUGGUAGAGCCCAUGCUUCACAAGCAUGAGGUCCUGGGUUCAAGCCCAAGUACCUCCA
rnacentral:tRNA from 1 species